rnacentral:sRNA from 1 species
GCUGGGUGUGGUGGUGCAUGCCUGUAAUCCCAGCAGCUCGGGAGGCUAAGGCAGGAGGAUCACAAGUUCAAAGCCAGCCUCUGCAACUUAGUGAGGCCCUAAGCAACUCAUCAAGACCCUGUCUCUA